AAUUCACAAGAUUAAGAAGGAAUUAAGAGCCCAAGCUAAUGCAUGAACUCAAAUCUUUAACCCUCUAAGCUUGUUCAACAAAUGGUGUAAAGGAGGAAGGUUCGAGUCACGCGAAGCAACAAGGAAAUCAAGAACGAGGUAAAUCUCAAGUUUAGCUUUCAAGCUUCGCCCGGUUUGAACACACUUCAAGACCCGCCUUAUGUUCCGCUACUUUUGUAAAGAAGACAACGCUUAAUAUUUUGGUCACUAUGUCUAUAUCUAGUAGUUAAAAA